AGAGUUUGAUCCUGGCUCAGAUUGAACGCUGGCGGCAUGCUUACACAUGCAAGUCGAACGGCAGCACGGGAGCAAUCCUGGUGGCGAGUGGCGAACGGGUGAGUAAUACAUCGGAACGUGCCCAGUAGUGGGGGAUAACCCGGCGAAAGCCGGACUAAUACCGCAUACGACCUACGGGUGAAAGCGGGGGAUCGCAAGACCUCGCGCUAUCGGAGCGGCCGAUGUCAGAUUAGGUAGUUGGUGGGGUAAAGGCCUACCAAGCCGACGAUCUGUAGCUGGUCUGAGAGGACGACCAGCCACACUGGGACUGAGACACGGCCCAGACUCCUACGGGAGGCAGCAGUGGGGAAUUUUGGACAAUGGGGGCAACCCUGAUCCAGCCAUGCCGCGUGCGGGAAGAAGGCCUUCGGGUUGUAAACCGCUUUUGUCAGGGAAGAAACGCUCCGGGCUAAUACCACGGAGUAAUGACGGUACCUGAAGAAUAAGCACCGGCUAACUACGUGCCAGCAGCCGCGGUAAUACGUAGGGUGCAAGCGUUAAUCGGAAUUACUGGGCGUAAAGCGUGCGCAGGCGGCUUUGCAAGACAGAUGUGAAAUCCCCGGGCUUAACCUGGGAACUGCAUUUGUGACUGCAUGGCUGGAGUGCGGCAGAGGGGGAUGGAAUUCCGCGUGUAGCAGUGAAAUGCGUAGAUAUGCGGAGGAACACCGAUGGCGAAGGCAAUCCCCUGGGCCUGCACUGACGCUCAUGCACGAAAGCGUGGGGAGCAAACAGGAUUGGAUACCCUGGUAGUCCACGCCCUAAACGAUGUCAACUGGUUGUUGGACGGCUUGCUGUUCAGUAACGAAGCUAACGCGUGAAGUUGACCGCCUGGGGAGUACGGCCGCAAGGUUGAAACUCAAAUGAAUUGACGG
rnacentral:rRNA from 1 species